AACAUGUGCACGUCAGCUUGAAGAAAGGGAUCCAAGAAAGGAGACAGCAACACUAUGAGGAGAGGACGCCGGGAAAGUGGGGGUUAGAGAGAGGUAAGGGAGGAAAGAUAACCAGGAGUGCAUCGUCAUCAUCAUCAUUGUCACCAUCAUCAUCGUCAUCAUCGGCGAAGCCAAACCACAGGGCAGGAGGAAUGAGUGUGGCGAAUCCCUAUUCUGCACCACGGGGGUCAUUGGUGACCUGACCAGAACUGCACAGCUUUGUAGAAUGGAGUGAAUAAAAGCGUCAUCAGAUGAUACUAAUCCUUCAGCAACAAUGGUGGCAGAUGUGAGUACCAACAGGCUCCGGCAGCCCUGCCCCUACAGUCUAAUGGAUGCAGCCCUCAUGGUGUCUCUGGUCUCUCUGUUGGACUGGUCCUUCUCACUGCCUGCAGCUUUACUCAUCAGAUUCUGUUUUCCAUGUUCCUGGCAUCUCUUUGUUUCUCAGGUCUCCAAGGCGUUUUUCAGGGCUUCAUGCAUCACUGCCUUAGGGGGAUGUUUAUGGAAUCUGACUCUGCUCCACGUUAUUUGGCCUCUCGGGCUUUCCUUAGAAAGCUGAUGUGGAUGAUGUCAUGGGCUGCAGCUGGGUUGGCAGCUAUUCCAUAUGGAAUGUCUGUAUAUACUGAACACUUGUUAAAAGGUAAGAACUCAGCAAAAAGCUAGAGACUGUGUAUCACAGGAGAUUAAAUGAAUAAAACCAGCUCAGCACAAGGGGCAUCAAGAUCAUGAUGGGGGAACGUACAGAGACAACCAAACCAAACUAGUGGGAAUUCAUGAACUGUGGACCAAGAGCUGUGGAUCCUCCAUGGGACUGGACUAGGCCCUCUGCAUAGAAGCUUCCUCAGGACAUACUGUCAUGGUAGAUCAAGCUACUGGACAUUUACAGUUCUAGCCCAAACAUCAGAUCCACCGUUCCUGCACUGGUCAGAGGAUGAAUGACACACGGCUGUCAGUAAGAUGGCGGAACACACUGUUCCUUUUUCAGUGGGAGGUGCUGCAAGCUCAUGGAUCCAUGGAACAAGUCAAAAACUGAGUACAGUGACUCAAAGAGACAGAGAGUUGCUCUUCUGUCAUCAUUUACAAAUGGAGAGAUUUAAUGAAGAGAGAAGGGGAUUGGUACAGCUAGAACCUAAACCUGGAAGCCGGAGACACCUGACUGUCAAACCGUUUUUGCACAGGAUGCUUUGGGGGCAGGUAGGGACGUGGGUUAAGAAGGCCUGUAUAGGGAAGGUCGUGUUUGGGGUUAAGCCUGAGCACUGUUGGGUCCGAUUUGAAGCCUAACUGUGGAAAACAACUGAGGUCAUUAUCACUUGUGAGAACAGUUUCAUUGGGGGAGGUGAGAACAGAGGCAGAUGGUGGUAGAUUAAGGGUGAGUGGGAAGUGAAGGAAUGGAGCCAGCUUCCAGAGCCUGGCUAAGAUGAGCAGGGAAAUCUGGCAAUAGGAUUGAAAUAGGGAGGAAUGUCACCUUUUUUGUUUUUCUUAAAAGUCAUGAGUACUUGAUAUAUUUUCUCAUCUACUAGCUUGGGUCUAGCUUGUUGUUUGCUGAGACUUUGAGGUGGGUCUUUAGGUCAGGAGCAUUAUUCUCCCUGGGUUUUAGGUGUGGACUCUCAUGGUUACAUUUCCCUCUGAGAACAGCCUUGGCUGUGAUUGAUAGCUUGUUUCUUAGUUUUCACUGGCUUCUAGGAACUUUCUAAUUUUCUCCCGGAGUUGGGUGGUGUCAUCUCUUGCUAUUGACUUCUAAUUCUAUUCCAUUAUUAUCUGAAAGGGUAUAAGAAGCAGUUUGAUUUUUUUUUUUUUUGUAUUUGUUGGACCUUCCUUCCAUGGCCUACAAUGAGAUCUCUUUCAGAGAAAACUCUAUUGGCUGCUAAGGAUGUAUAUUCUGUUGCUGUUGGAUGGAAUAUUCUGUGGAUAUCUAUUUGUGUUGGUUUGAGGUAGGGUCUCAUGCAGCCUAGAGUGGCCUCAAACAUGUUGUAUAGCCAGAGAUGACCUUGAACUCCUCCUGUGCCUGCUCUCUUGGUGCUGGGCUUAUAUAAAACUUAAAUAAAUGUGCAUCACUAUGCAACUUGUAGAUGUCUAUCAAGUCCAUUUGAUGUGUGGUACAGUUUAACUCUGAGGUUCCUUUGUUGGUAUUUUUGUCUGUAUUGUCUCUUUAUUCAGGAUAGUAGAGUAUGGGAAAACCUGCUGUCAUUGUACCUGGACCAAUCUUCCCUUUACAUCCAGCCAGUAGUGUGGUGGUAAUCUAAUUGUACUGAAAUGUGAUUUUGAUUGUAUGUUAAUAAAUAAAGUUGCCCGGGGGUCAGAGCUAUUAGAGCCAUAGCAAGAGUGUGGCGGU